UAUAUAAAUACUUAAUAAUAAUUAUAAACUGUAAAAAUAUAAAUAUUUUAUAAAAAUAAAAUUUACAAGUUUUAAUAUAUAUUACUUUUAAAAAAUAAAUCAUCCCGCGGUAUACCGCAGGUUAAAAUCUAGUUUUCUUUUUAAAGUUAGAAGU
rnacentral:sRNA from 1 species